UGCGUGUUUGAAUUGCAGAGCCACAACCCA
rnacentral:piRNA from 1 species